CCUACGGGAGGCAGCAGUGGGGGAUAUUGCACAAUGGGGGGAACCCUGAUGCAGCGACGCCGCGUGGGUGAAGGAGUGCUUCGGCAUGUAAAGCCCUAUCGGCAGGGAAGAAGCAAGACGGUACCUGACUAAGAAGCCCCGGCUAACUACGUGCCAGCAGCCGCGGUAAUACGUAGGGGGCGAGCGUUAUCCGGAUUCACUGGGUGUAAAGGGAGCGUAGACGGCCAUGCAAGCCAGGGGUGAAAGCCCGGGGCCCAACCCCGGGACUGCCCUUGGAACUGCAUGGCUGGAGUGCGGGAGUGGCAGGCGGAAUUCCUGGUGUAGCGGUGAAAUGCGUAGAUAUCAGGAGGAACACCGGCGGCGAAGGCGGCCUGCUGGACAUUAACUGACGCUGAGGCACGAAGGCCAGGGGAGCGAAAGGGAUUAGAUACCCGUGUAGUC
rnacentral:rRNA from 1 species